AUACACACUUGGUUCUUAAUUUCUUCUCCUGUUGCUGUGAAAAAGAAAUAACCUGACAAAAGCGCCUUAAAAGAGUUUCUUGCAGCUUGAAUUUCCACGGUAUAGUCCAUCACAGCAGGGAAGUCACGGCAGCAGCUGAAGCUGCCUGUCAAGGCAGCAGGAGCCUGAAGCAGCAAGCCAAAUGUUCACAUUCGGGAAGCAGAGAAAAGUGGAUGGCUCUUCUCAGCUCAUGGUGCAUUUCACACAGUUCAGGAUCUCAGUGGAAGGGGUGACACCAUCCACAGUGGUUGGUUCUUUCCCUCUUAAUAAACCUCAUCAAGAUAACUACCAAAAAGCAUGCCCAGAGGCCCAACUCCCGGGGCAUUCUAGAUCUCAUCAAGUUGACAGUUGAGAUGAACUGUCACUCUUGGAAACCUCACUGUAGCAUAAGGACUGAAAAGAGCAAGUUCAAGGUCAGACUCACAAACAGAACAAGUUGGAGUUCCAUGUAUUCCAGUGUUGAUGAAUACUUGAGUCUUUUACAUUCUGUCUUUCAAGAUGGAUGGCAGAAUAUGUGCAAAUGGAUGAACACUAUGACUGAAUAUAGAGAAGCUCAAAGGACAUAGAAGAAAAAAAAAAUGAAAGUUUGGUAAAGGUGACUUCUCAGAGAAGAAAACAACUAUAUCAUUAAGUAAGAGACAAGAAGUCUCACUCAUGUCUCUCUCAAGCUCCAACCUGUUCUACUAAUGGCAACACGCACAUGCUUUCCCAACCUGCCUUGUAGGGG
rnacentral:lncRNA from 1 species